AAAAGUUGAAAAAUGGUAAUUUACAUGGAAAAGGGCUACAUUGAAUACAAUGAUCACUAAUCCUUCUACCAUCUUCAAUAUCCACUGUGUUCUUGGCCUCAGUUGAGAAUGAUGAAUCAAAGUUGACUGACUUGCUCAAGAAUGUCUUCAAGAUAGAAGAUCAACCGAAUGUAGUUACUUUCCAUAAUCCCUAUUUUUUUCAUAAAUUGCCCCAAGAUGGGGUUUUCAAUCUAUCAGGACAAAUUGUUCU
rnacentral:lncRNA from 1 species